GCACUGAAGGUUCAGUUGUAGAAUUCUCGCCUUCCAUGUGGGAGACUCGGGUUCAACUCCUGGCCAGUGCA
rnacentral:tRNA from 1 species